AUNUUGGGUUAAGUCCCGCAACGAGCGCAACCCUCGUUCUAUGUUGCCAGCACNUAAUNGUGGGAACUCAUGNGAUACUGCCGGGGUCAACUCGGAGGAAGGUGGGGAUGACGUCAAAUNAUNAUNCCCCUUAUGUCUUGGGCUUCACGCAUGCUACAAUGGCCGGUACAAAGGGCUNCAAUACCGUGAGGUGGAGCGAAUCCCAAAAAGCCGGUCCCAGUUNGGAUUGAGGUNUGCAACUCGACCUCAUGAAGUCGGAGUCGCUAGUAAUCGCAGAUCANCAACGCUGCGGUGAAUACGUUCCCGGGUCUUGUACACACCGCCCGUCAAGUCAUGAAAGUCGGUAACACCUGAAGCUCGGUGGACCCAACCCUUNUGGAGGGAGCCGUCGAAGGUGGGAUCGGUAAUUAGGAGUAAGUCGAACAAGNAGCCNAUCC
rnacentral:rRNA from 1 species